UAAACCAAACCGCAACCUAGUUAAUAAAUACCCGGAUGUACAAUAACCGGAACCGGAAACAGCGAUAUCUAUUUUCAUCUAAUACUCGUAUAACCACGAGCGCAAUCCCCUCAUAACCCCCCACUUCGCUGCAUACGGAAUACCUCCAAGACACGCAAUCUAAGCUCCGCCAAUACACAUCUCGGACCAAGCCAUGCACUCAGCCGGAGCCAGGCGCUACACAGGUUUGGCCAUUGCAUGCACCACGCUACACUAGAGGCAUUACUAACGAGCGUGUAGGGGCGGGUGAUGAGGGCCUUAUCAUUCGAAACACGUUUCAUAUACGAAUCAUCUCCCUAGUUUUUUCCCCUUUUACUCCCACCAUCAUCGCCGGUUUUCCCCUAGCUUUCCCCUAAGUCCCCCCGCUUUCAUCUCUAGGUUCGUAUAUGACCAACCAAUAGACCUCGCCCCCUGAAGAGAAGUCUUGGUUGGCGUUAUAUGCCUUUAGUUCUACAUUUCGCAGAGCUCUUUGAAAUGACCUACACACUUUUGUCUUAUUGGUUUAUUUUGUUAUGCCCAUUUUACAUAUACAUGCCGGUUGUUUUCUCCGUGCCUUUGCCUUUUCCCCUUAUCUCUUACCACCGAUUAUCGCUUCAUCUGGGGAAAACUAUCCUUCCUGUCUUGUUAACGUUUCAGCGUCAUCUCCACUCUCACCACGCUCCCUUUGUCGCCUCCCGCGCCCCUACUUCAUCUUCUUCUCGCCGUUCUACUAGCAUCAAUUUCCAUUGUCCGCAAUACACCCUUUCACCGCUACAGAAUUUUUUAUCUUUUCUCGGCGUUUCCGCAACACUCAUUCGGUCUCUGUUGUUGUUUAAUUUCGCCUGUCAGUCAUACCAUUUACACACUUCAUUAGAUACAUACCUCCACGCAUACCUAACCCCCCCCCCUAUUACCGCUCACCAUUUCCUCCCUACAAUCCAAACACUUUUCUUUCUCUUAUCCUACACAUUACUUUCCCACCCUACACACAACACACUUUCCCAUAAACACUACACAGUCUUUUCACAAUAUCCCUGCUUAUCAUUCUGUUCACACUCACAUUAUCCCCCUUUAUCAGAUUUUAUUAAUGCCGCCGACCUCUUCACAUCCGCUACACAACACUAGCAACAAGCUUCCGAUUUUAACUGUUUUAAUCCCCAAAUAAUACCAUAUUUACUAACCACCUUCUCUACUAAA